CCUACGGGCUGCACCAGUAGGGAAUCUUCGGCAAUGGACGAAAGUCUGACCGAGCAACGCCGCGUGAGUGAAGAAGGUUUUCGGAUCGUAAAGCUCUGUUGGUAGAGAAGAACGUUGGUGAGAGUGGAAAGCUCAUCAAGUGACGGUAACUACCCAGAAAGGGACGGCUAACUACGUACCAGCAGCCGCGGUAAUACGCAGGUCCCGAGCGUUGUCCGGAUUUAUUGGGCGUAAAGCGGGCGCAGGUGGUUUAUUAAGUCUGGUGUAAAAGGCAGUGGCUCAACCAUUGUAUGCAUUGGAAACUGGUAGACUUGAGUGCAGGAGAGGAGAGUGGAAUUCCAUGUGUAGCGGUGAAAUGCGUAGAUAUAUGGAGGAACACCGGUGGCGAAAGCGGCUCUCUGGCCUGUAACUGACACUGAGGCUCGAAAGCGUGGGGAGCAAACAGGAUUAGAUACCCGAGUAGUC
rnacentral:rRNA from 1 species